UCUUGGUCAUUUAGAGGAAGUAAAAGUCGUAACAAGGUUUCCGUAGGUGAACCUGCGGAAGGAUCAUUACUGAGCGCUGCCUCCGGGCAACCUCCCACCCCUGACUACUGUACCACUGUUGCUUUGGCAGGCCCGCCCCCUCCCGGGGGGCCGCCGGCGGUAAGCUGGCCUGUGCCUGCCAGAGGACCACAAAACCCGAGUCGUGUGUAGUCUGAGCGUCAUAUAGAAUAAGUUAAAACUUUCAACAACGGAUCUCUUGGUUCUGGCAUCGAUGAAGAACGCAGCGAAAUGCGAUAAGUAAUGUGAAUCGCAGAAUUCAGUGAAUCAUCGAAUCUUUGAACGCACAUUGCACCCUCUGGCACUCAGGGGGUAUGCCUGUCCGAGCGUCGUCACGACCCUCGAGCUCCCCGGAGCUCGGCGUUGGGUGUGGCCCCCAUCACCGGGGCCCUCCCCAAAACCAGUGGCGGCCGUGGCCAGGCCCCGAGCGCAGUAGACUUCUCUCGCUCCGGGGCCCUGGCGGCGUGCCGGCCAGCAAGACUUCAGCUACACCUAAGGUUGACCUCGGAUCAGGUAGGAGCACCCGCUGAACUUAAGCAUAUCAAUAAGCGGAGGAAA
rnacentral:rRNA from 1 species